rnacentral:rRNA from 1 species
AGCGAACGCUGGCGGCAGGCCUAACACAUGCAAGUCGAACGAACCUUUCGGGGUUAGUGGCGGACGGGUGAGUAACACGUGGGAACGUGCCUUUAAGUUCGGAAUAACUCAGGGAAACUUGUGCUAAUACCGAAUGUGCCCUUCGGGGGAAAGAUUUAUCACCUUUAGAGCGGCCCGCGUCUGAUUAGCUAGUUGGUUGAGGUAAUGGCUCACCAAGGCGACGAUCAGUAGCUGGUCUGAGAGGAUGAUCAGCCACAUUGGGACUGAGACACGGCCCAAACUCCUACGGGAGGCAGCAGUGGGGAAUCUUGCGCAAUGGGCGAAAGCCUGACGCAGCCAUGCCGCGUGAAUGAUGAAGGUCUUAGGAUUGUAAAAUUCUUUCACCGGGGACGAUAAUGACGGUACCCGGAGAAGAAGCCCCGGCUAACUUCGUG